rnacentral:rRNA from 1 species
GAUGACCGCGGGCGGCGCCCUCACCACUCUAAAGUCGAGAGAGUGUUCGCUCAGUAUUGAGUAUUCUAAGUUUAGUAUGUUCAUUUUGUGAGCAACCCCAAGCGGCGGACGGGUGAGUAACGCGUGGGUAACCUGCCCUAUACACAUGGAUAACAUACUGAAAAGUUUACUAAUACAUGAUAAUAUAUAUUCGUGGCAUCGCAGAUAUAUCAAAGUGUUAGCGGUAUAGGAUGGACCCGCGUCUGAUUAGCUAGUUGGUGAGAUAACUGCCCACCAAGGCGACGAUCAGUAGCCGACCUGAGAGGGUGAUCGGCCACAUUGGAACUGAGACACGGUCCAAACUCCUACGGGAGGCAGCAGUGGGGAAUAUUGCACAAUGGGCGAAAGCCUGAUGCAGCAACGCCGCGUGAACGAUGAAGGUCUUCGGAUCGUAAAGUUCUGUUGCAGGGGAAGAUAAUGACGGUACCCUGUGAGGAAGCCCCGGCUAACUACGUGCCAGCAGCCGCGGUAAUACGUAGGGGGCUAGCGUUAUCCGGAUUUACUGGGCGUAAAGGGUGCGUAGGUGGUCCUUCAAGUCGGUGGUUAAAGGCUACGGCUCAACCGUAGUAAGCCGCCGAAACUGGAGGACUUGAGUGCAGGAGAGGAAAGUGGAAUUCCCAGUGUAGCGGUGAAAUGCGUAGAUAUUGGGAGGAACACCAGUAGCGAAGGCGGCUUUCUGGACUGCAACUGACACUGAGGCACGAAAGCGUGGGUAGCAAACAGG